rnacentral:rRNA from 1 species
AUACGUAGGGUGCGAGCGUUGUCCGGAAUUACUGGGCGUAAAGAGCUCGUAGGUGGUUUGUCGCGUCGUCUGUGAAAUUCCGGGGCUUAACUCCGGGCGUGCAGGCGAUACGGGCAUAACUUGAGUACUGUAGGGGAGACUGGAAUUCCUGGUGUAGCGGUGAAAUGCACAGAUAUCAGGAGGAACACCGGUGGCGAAGGCGGGUCUCUGGGCAGUAACUGACGCUGAGGAGCGAAAGCAGGGGUAGCGGACAGGAUUAGAUACCCUGGUAGUCCAUGCCGUAAACGGUGGGCGCUAGGUGUAGGGGUCUUCCACGACUUCUGUGCCGUAGCUAACGCAUUAAGCGCCCCGCCUGGGGAGUACGGCCGCAAGGCUAAAACUCAAAUGAAUUGACGGGG